GACGAACGCUGGCGGCGUGCUUAACACAUGCAAGUCGAACGGAAAGGCCCUUCGGGGUACUCGAGUGGCGAACGGGUGAGUAACACGUGGGUGAUCUGCCCUGCACUUUGGGAUAAGCCUGGGAAAGUGGGUCUAAUACCGAAUAUGAUCAUCGGCUUCAUGGUCGGUGGUGGAAAGAUUUUUGGGUGUGGGAUGGGCCCGCGGCCUAUCAGCUUGUUGGUGGGGUAAUGGCCUACCAAGGCGACGACGGGUAGCCGGCCUGAGAGGGUGACCGGCCACACUGGGACUGAGAUACGGCCCAGACUCCUACGGGAGGCAGCAGUGGGGAAUAUUGCACAAUGGGCGCAAGCCUGAUGCAGCGACGCCGCGUGAGGGAUGACGGCCUUCGGGUUGUAAACCUCUUUCAGCACAGACGAAGCGCAAGUGACGGUAUGUGCAGAAGAAGGACCGGCCAACUACGUGCCAGCCGCCGCAGUAAUAC
rnacentral:rRNA from 1 species